rnacentral:rRNA from 1 species
ACGAACGCUGGCGGCGUGCCUAAUACAUGCAAGUCGAACGAACGGAGGAAGAGCUUGCUCUUCCAAAGUUAGUGGCGGACGGGUGAGUAACACGUGGGCAACCUGCCUGUAAGUUGGGGAUAACUCCGGGAAACCGGGGCUAAUACCGAAUGAUAAAGUGUGGCGCAUGCCAUGCUUUUGAAAGAUGGUUUCGGCUAUCGCUUACAGAUGGGCCCGCGGUGCAUUAGCUAGUUGGUAGGGUAAUGGCCUACCAAGGCAACGAUGCAUAGCCGACCUGAGAGGGUGAUCGGCCACACUGGGACUGAGACACGGCCCAGACUCCUACGGGAGGCAGCAGUAGGGAAUCUUCCGCAAUGGACGAAAGUCUGACGGAGCAACGCCGCGUGUAUGAAGAAGGUUUUCGGAUCGUAAAGUACUGUUGUUAGAGAAGAACAAGGAUAAGAGUAACUGCUUGUCCCUUGACGGUAUCUAACCAGAAAGCCACGG